AGGACGAACGCUGGCGGCGUGCUUAACACAUGCAAGUCGAACGGUAAGGCCCUUCGGGGUACACGAGUGGCGAACGGGUGAGUAACACGUGGGUGAUCUGCCCUGCACUUCGGGAUAAGCCUGGGAAACUGGGUCUAAUACCGGAUAGGACCAUGGACUUCACGGUUUGUGGUGGAAAGCUUUUGCGGUGUGGGAUGGGCCCGCGGCCUAUCAGCUUGUUGGUGGGGUAAUGGCCUACCAAGGCGACGACGGGUAGCCGGCCUGAGAGGGUGUCCGGCCACACUGGGACUGAGAUACGGCCCAGACUCCUACGGGCGGCAGCAGUGGGGAAUAUUGCACAAUGGGCGCAAGCCUGAUGCAGCGACGCCGCGUGAGGGAUGACGGCCUUCGGGUUGUAAACCUCUUUCAAUAGGGACGAAGCGCAAGUGACGGUACCUAUAGAAGAAGCACCGGCCAACUACGUG
rnacentral:rRNA from 1 species